AGAGUUUGAUCAUGGCUCAGGAUGAACGCUAGCUACAGGCUUAACACAUGCAAGUCGAGGGGAAACGACAUCGAAAGCUUGCUUUUGAUGGGCGUCGACCGGCGCACGGGUGAGUAACGCGUAUCCAACCUGCCCAUCACUUGGGGAUAACCUUGCGAAAGUAAGACUAAUACCCAAUGAUAUCUCUAGAAGACAUCUGAAAGAGAUUAAAGAUUUAUCGGUGAUGGAUGGGGAUGCGUCUGAUUAGCUUGUUGGCGGGGUAACGGGCCACCAAGGCUACGGAUCAGUAGGGGUUCUGAGAGGAAGGUCCCCCACAUUGGAACUGAGACACGGUCCAAACUCCUACGGGAGCA
rnacentral:rRNA from 1 species